UGAAAUUGGAUAAUGAAACUCUUAAAUUUUCAGAUUGAAGAAUAAAUUAUUCAGCGUUUGAGAUUUUCAUAUAGACCUCAAAUGAAACUGAUGAGUUGGUAGGUUAGUGUGCUUAAGGAAUAAAAGAAUCAUAAUAGGAAUAGGACUUUUCUGCCACUAAAAAGUUUUAUGCAAGGUUUUUUUUCCUUGUAAAUCAUUCAGCUAUUGAUCAAAUAAUAGAACUCAGUCUUCUCUUUUCACUUUGCAGAUGUGAAAUUAUCACUAAAUUGGAGAGAGAAACAAAUGAAGAACACUUGGUGUUCUUGAGGGUACGAUCGGAUCCAGGGAGUUAAGAGCAAGAAAGCAAAGGAAAGGAGAGAAUGUUCUUGGGAGUUCGGUACAAGAACAGUCCCAAGGAAAAACCGUUUUGUACUAAAUUGGGGAGAAGAAGAAACUACCAAGAACCAGCCACAGAACGAGGUACAAGCCUGUAGUUUACCUUCGUAGUUGUUACGAUUCCGUUUUCGUUUCAGUUUUUUUAAAAGUUUAUUGAAAAAUCUGAGUUGUUAUACAUGGUUUAAAUCAGCACUUUGUAUCUAGAAACACUUAUCAAGGUGUUGGGAAUGAUUCAUUACGAUAGAUCUUGAGUUUUGGGAUGAUUUGGUGGUGGUUAGUGCUUGGUAGGUGGCUGUCAUGACAAAUACAGCACCAUUGUUGCAUUGGCUUUCAAAUGCAUUGGCUUAGGCAUGGUUCAACAAGUCAAAUUAGAGAUUGAGGAAUGAAGAUCUUACUACGGCAAGGCUUCGAUCGAAUUGAAACUUUGCAAGAGACUUAAUUCCAGAACCUUACACAGAGAUAACAUCUCAUUUUCGUGCAAGCACUAAUUUUUUUGUUUCAAAGUGUAUUAAUUCAGCACUUUUUGUAGGUGUAAUUGAUAUGAGAGUAUAUUUUAGGAGAUAUUUUUAAUUAUUUGAAGUUUAUAACGAUGAAAGAGGAGGUUUGAUGAGAUAAUGAUUUUUAUCAUGAUUGUAAAUGCCA